rnacentral:rRNA from 1 species
ACCUACGGGACGCAGCAGUGGGGAAUAUUGGGCAAUGGGCGCAAGCCUGACCCAGCAACGCCGCGUGAAGGAAGAAGGCUUUCGGGUUGUAAACUUCUUUUCUGAGGGACGAAGAAAGUGACGGUACCUCAGGGAUAAGCCACGGCUAACUACGUGCCAGCAGCCGCGGUAAUACGUAGGUGGCAAGCGUUAUCCGGAUUUAUUGGGUGUAAAGGGCGUGUAGGCGGGAAA